rnacentral:rRNA from 1 species
GACGAACGCUGGCGGCGUGCCUAAUACAUGCAAGUAGAACGCACAGUUUAUACCGUAGCUUGCUACACCAUAAACUGUGAGUUGCGAACGGGUGAGUAACGCGUAGGUAACCUGCCUGGUAGCGGGGGAUAACUAUUGGAAACGAUAGCUAAUACCGCAUAAUAUUAAUUAUUGCAUGAUAAUUGAUUGAAAGAUGCAAUUGCAUCACUACCAGAUGGACCUGCGUUGUAUUAGCUAGUAGGUGAGGUAACGGCUCACCUAGGCGACGAUACAUAGCCGACCUGAGAGGGUGAUCGGCCACACUGGGACUGAGACCCGGCCCAGACUCCUACGGGAGGCAGCAGUAGGGAAUCUUCGGCAAUAGACGAAAGUCUGACCGAGCAACGCCGCGUGAGUGAAGAAGGUUUUCGGAUCGUAAAGCUCUGUUGUAAGAGAAGAACGGGGGUGAGAGUGGAAAGUUCACACUGUGACGGUAUCUUACCAGAAAGGGACGGCUAACUACGUG